rnacentral:rRNA from 1 species
UGAACGCUGGCGGCGUGCUUAACACAUGCAAGUCGAACGAUGAUCCCUAGCUUGCUGGGGGGAUUAGUGGCGAACGGGUGAGUAACACGUGAGUAACCUGCCCUUGACUCUGGGAUAAGCCUGGGAAACUGGGUCUAAUACUGGAUACGACCUUCCAUCGCAUGGUGGUUGGUGGAAAGCUUUUGUGGUUUUGGAUGGACUCGCGGCCUAUCAGCUUGUUGGUGGGGUAAUGGCCUACCAAGGCGACGACGGUAGCCGGCCUGAGAGGGUGGACGGCCACACUGGGACUGAGACACGGCCCAGACUCCUACGGGAGGCAGCAGUGGGGAAUAUUGCACAAUGGGCGCAAGCCUGAUGCAGCGACGCCGCGUGAGGGAUGAAGGCCUUCGGGUUGUAAACCUCUUUCAGUAGGGAAGAAGCGAAAGUGACGGUACCUGCAGAAGAAGCGCCGGCUAACUACGUGCCAGCAGCCGCGGUAAUACGUAGGGCGCAAGCGUUAUCCGGAAUUAUUGGGCGUAAAGAGCUCGUAGGCGGUUUGUCGCGUCUGCCGUGAAAGUCCGGGGCUUAACCCCGGAUCUGCGGUGGGUACGGGCAGACUUGAGUGAUGUAGGGGAGACUGGAAUUCCUGGUGUAGCGGUGAAAUGCGCAGAUAUCA